rnacentral:rRNA from 1 species
ACGAGAGGUGCAAGCGUUAUUCGGAAUAAUUGGGCGUAAAGGGUGCGUAGACGGUUUGUUUAGUCUGUUGUUAAAUCUUUCGGCUUAACCGAAAAUCUGCAAUGGAAACUGGCAGGCUAGAGUGUGAAAGAGAGAAGUGGAAUUCUUGGAGUAGCGGUAAAAUGCGUAGAUCUCAAGAGGAACACCGAUGGCGAAGGCAGCUUCUUGGUUCACUACUGACGUUGAGGCACGAAAGCGUGGGGAGCAAACAGG